rnacentral:lncRNA from 1 species
AAAAAAAAAAAAAAAAAAAAAAAAAAAGACUAUUAGGUAAGGAAUUCAACCUGGGGAACAUGAAAACUUUCCAGGAAAUUGAUAAGGUGUCCAAGAUUUGAAAUAUGAGUGGGUGUUUAUUCCAAAAUAGCCUAAGACUCCUCUUCCAAUACAUUAAUUAUGCUGCUGCCAUAAUCACCUAUUCAAAAGUAAAAUCUGGGAGUUCCUGGUGGCCUAGCAGUUAAGGAUCUGGCAUUGUCACUGCUGUGGCUCGAGUUUGAUCCCUGGCCUGGGAACACAUGCCACGGGCACGGCCAAAAAAAAGUAAAAUCUGAUCAUGCUAGAGAUGGGUACACAGGGGUUAUCUAAGGCACAGCUAACGUUCUCUUUCUUUCUGUGGAUACUUGUGACCCUGCUACAAGUAGUACUCGUUUUUUCUUUUCUUUUCUUUUUAAGGCUGCACCUAUGGCAUAUGGAAGUUCCUAGGCUAAGGGUUCAGUCACAGCCUGCACCACAGCCACAGCAACACUAUAUCUGAGCUCCCUCUGUGACUUACUCUACAGCUUGGGGCAAUGCUGGAUCCUUAAUCCACUGAGUGAGACCAGGUAUUGAACCCACAUCCUCAUGGCCACUUAGGUUCUUAACCCACUGAGCUACAAUAGGAAUUCCACAAGCAGUACACUUUAAUGAUCCGUUCAUAGAGCCCUUUCCCUCCUAGACGCUUGUGCAUCUUUCUACCUCCAGUCUCUCAGCACAGAGGAGAUGCUCUAUCAUUUCCUGCUGAAAGAAUAAAUGGCCUAUGGAGAUACCCAUCCACAGAGUUUGGCCUAUAGAAUACCCAUCCACAGAGCUCUAAGUUUACUCAGGGUCUGUGUGACUAGUGGGUAAAUAGGCCAGGUUUACAUAAAAAGCCAAAGUCCCAAAGUUUGAAAACUCAUUUCCCAGUCCCCUUCCAGCCUUGCCCUGUGACUUCACCUUGAGUUAUGCAACAGUUAUAUAAUGGAGAUCCCCGGCAGAGCCCUGCACUUGAAGCGGAUUCUGUUUUGUUCAAAUGAAACCCGGAUUCCAGGGACAUAAUGAUGGCACCCCAGAGCUAUUAUCAGUGUAUAUUGUAGCUUUGGUGUUGAUAAUGAGCAUGUUCAAGCACAUUCCAUUCCUCUCUCUGUUUUAAUCUCCACACCGCUCUGGUUACAAAGCAGUGAGCCUGGCCUCAUCUCUUCCUCUUCUGUCUGCUUUGGUUCUUUUCAGCAGACGCUUGGGUCAAGGGUGAGCUUCCAUUCCUGGCUCUCAGCUGUAAGUCACCUGGAACAAAUCCUUCUUUGCUUUUCCUGUCCCCAAUUGUGCUUUCAAAAAAG